rnacentral:miRNA from 18 species
CCCAGUGUUCAGACUACCUGUCC